rnacentral:rRNA from 1 species
UACGAAGGACCCGAGCGUUCUCCGGAUUUAUUGGGUUUAAAGGGUGCGUAGGCGGAUUAGUAAGUCAGUGGUGAAAGCCCAUCGCUUAACGGUGGAAUUGCCAUUGAUACUGCUAGUCUUGAGUAUGGUUGAGGUGGGCGGAAUGUGUCAUGUAGCGGUGAAAUGCUUAGAUAUGACCCAGAACACCAAUUGCGAAGGCAGCUCGCUAAACCAUAACUGACGCUGAUGCACGAAAGCGUGGGGAGCAAACAGG